UUUCUGACUGAUUAUGGGAUUAUAGGGUAUAUUUGAAAUUUGGUGGUGCUGGCACUGACACUGAUAUCAUGUAAGAAGCUGAUUGGAAUUUUCUUUUGGCCCCUGGGAAAGGAAUGAGGAAGUUGUAUUCAGGGGAAAAAGAGGAAGUAGCCAUAUAGGAAAAUGGCACUGAUAUUUUGACAGGAAUGGCACUGAAACACCUGGUUGCUCUGGGUAGCAUGUACAUUAUAACAUGGAUUCUUCCCAUCCCUCAUCACAGUAUGGCUUUUCUUCUGUUAGUGCUCUUCUACUUAUUGCAUUCCAAGAAGAGAACUCCUCCUGCAUGGUCUGUACCAGCAUCUAGAGAGGGCUAGGACCCAGAAAAACUGCCUUGAGGUGAACAAUGUCUGUUGUGCUGCCAAUGAUGAUUUUGUGGCCUCCAAAGAACAUCAAAACUCAAAGGGGCAGUGGCUGCACCUGUUCUGCUUACAGGACCAUGGACAAUAUCCAGAAAAGUGUCUUCACACAGGGUAUCCUCAUGUGUAUUGGUGACUUGAUGACAGCCACCCACUUUCCAAUGAUACCUGUGGGCCAUGAACACUUUUCCAUCCCCAAGAAUUCCUGCCCUGAGCAUACCACAAACCCUCUAGAGUGACUCUCCAAUCUCCUUUCCAAUGAACAGAACAGCUUUCACCAAGUGUGGAUCAGUGAGGGGUGUGGAAGGUCAUCCCUGGGAAUCAUCAUAGCCUCUGCAGUGGGCUAAGGCCACAGCUAUCCCCUUCUCAUGGAGCCCCCAUUUUCUCCUCAGUGACCUGCACUCUGGAUCCAUUCAGCACCCCACCAUUCAGUGUUGUAAACCGAGGCUGAGUUGUUUGCACAUGGCCACGACUUGAAUGCACAAGUGGCCAAGUUCCACAGGGCUGCUCAUGUAAGAACUUUCCUUCCCCAUAUCUGAACUUGUCCUGGACUCAGUGUCUCUAAGUGGCUGGUGGUUGAGCCUAAGGACACCUCUCCUGGGCUUCUUCUUGUCUCUGGGAGCCUCUGGCCAGGGGCUGGUGAGUCCUGGCCUGAGAUGCCCAUGAUGUGUGGGUGUUUCCAGCUGAGCUUGUUGAUGCCUCUGGACCAAGUGAACCACCCUUUCAUACUUUCCCACGUGGUUCAAUGACACGGGGUCUUGAUGCUAGGGCUGUGUGGCCUGGGAAAGCAGCACAGCAUGUUCUCUAUUUCCUCUCUCAAGCCUACGGUAUAUGAAGGCCAACUAUCACCAGACUAAGGUGCCUGGUGACCAGAGCCUUCAGAGUUCUGUUUUGACUUGUUGCCAAGGAAGUGAGUUCAUGUGCUGUGGUACACAGUUGAUACUCCCCGUCUGAUGCCUCCUUUCUUUUUAUUUGUCCUCCUUAUAAAGAGCAAGUUAAAAAACUAGAAAAAUAUGUGCGUUUUUAGAUUUUCUGCACUUUGAAGAUUUUAAUGAAAUAAACACGUAGAUGCUUCAAAAGUGGCAGGCAGGGUGCCAAACACACUUUUCCAUCCAAAAGAUCCUUUCCCUUGAAGAUGAGGUGCACAGUGUCAUCACUGAGAGAUUUCACCAAUUUUAUUUUGAUUGUCUUUUCUGGGCUUAUGUUAGUUUCAUUUCAAUUUCAUUAAGGAGCAUAGAGAUGUUCCCAGAAGACCCAUUAUAAUUUUCCUUGAAGGAUAUGAAAUGUUUCAUGUUAUAAGACCCAUGUGUCCAGGGGAGGAGGAUUCAUAGCAUGUUUUCCUCUCAUGUGCCUAUGAAUGAUCACUUUUCAUCCUUAGAUGUUUUCCUCAGCCACACACUAUAGUGCUCUGUACUCUGACAUCAUGUGAGAAGGGAAAGCAGGUGGUGAGUGCAAGGGGAGGCUUUGCAAGGCUGUGGACAUCAUCACCUCAUGAUGAUGAAGGACACAUGGGCAUCACCACUGGGGAACUUGUCUCCUAGCCACUGCUUUCACUUCCUGUCCUCCCAUCCCAAACAGACCAUGGGCUUUGUGUCCCUGCUGGGUAGUUUGCCUUUCCUAGAGGUGAAGGCACUGAGCCUGUUUAGUUUAGAUGCUCUUGGUUGGUCUCCUUCAAGCAACAUCUCUGUGCUGGGCUUCAUCUGUGCUGCUCCUUAUUGGUGUUGGUGCUACCACACACUCUCAUGUGGCUGAACCAAACAAGUGUGACUUCUUCAUGCAUCUCUCACGCAUCUGCUGAUCCCAUUUGUUCUGUUUCCAGGUUGGUCCUUGAAUGCCAGCUGCCACAGAUCUUCUCAUACAUGGUCUUGAGUGGACUUUUCUUUCAAAGAAAAAUACUUAGAUGUGAAAUUGCCAGAUUAUUUGGCUUGUGUAUGGUUAACUUGCAAACUGUUAAGGUACCCUUGGAAGCAUUUUUAAUAAUCAGAGUUAGGUGGUUGUUUCCUUUUUUGUAUUGGGGAUUGAACUUAGGACCUCAUGUUUGCCGAGUGGGUACUUAUACUGCAGAAUUAAAGCUCCAUCCCUGUUUUCUUAUUUUGUUUUGCUUUGUUUUGUUGUGUUCUUUUAUACUAUACUAUAUUAUGUUAUGUUAUGUUAUGUUAUGUUACACUAUGUUUUGUGUUCAUGAGGACUUUGAAUCUCCUUCAGUGUAUUUUCAGUGCUUUCUGAUUUCAUUUUGUGUAACUCACAUGAUAAAAUAUGAGAAUAUCACAUAAUUCUGGGUAAUUGUAUUUUGGAGAAAAUUUAAAAAGGAAAUGAGAGCCAGGUUUGGUAGUAAAAGUCUGAAAUGCCAGAUGUUACAAGGCUGAGGCAGCAAGAUUGCUGUGACUUGAGGUCGGCCUGAGCUACAACGUGAGUUAAAGGCAGUUUGAACUUCAUUGCACAACCCUGUCUCAAAAAUACAUAAAUCAAUCAAAAUAAAAAUACAUUUAAAAAGGUUUUAAAAGAGACAAAAAUCAUCUAUAAAUGGACAAAUCUAAUCUUUGUGAAUUUUUCUUACAUAUGUACUUUAGUCAGCACAAUGAGUAUUAGGUUUACCAUCAAGUAGACAUUGAUCUUCUGCCAAGAAGUUGAACUGUUUCAAUUUUUUGACCUUUUAAAUGAAAUGAAUAUAGAUAUGCUACUGAAUAUACCUGCUCAGGAUUUGGAGAGCUUGGUAUGAAGAGAA